AUGUAGCCAAGUGGAUCAAGGCAGUGGAUUGUGAAUC
rnacentral:tRNA from 1 species